UACGUAGGGGGCAAGCGUUGUCCGGAAUCAUUGGGCGUAAAGCGCGCGUAGGCGGCCCUGUAAGUCCGUUGUGAAAGUCAAAGGCUCAACCUUUGAAAGCCGAUGGAUACUGCAGGGCUAGAGUCCGGAAGAGGCGAGUGGAAUUCCUGGUGUAGCGGUGGAAUGCGCAGAUAUCAGGAGGAACACCAAUAGCGAAGGCAGCUCGCUGGGCCUUACCUGACGCUGAGGAGCGAAAGCAUGGGGAGCAAACAGG
rnacentral:rRNA from 1 species